rnacentral:rRNA from 1 species
UACGGGGGGGGCAAGCGUUGUUCGGAAUUACUGGGCGUAAAGGGUUCGUAGGCGGCCAACUAAGUCGGAUGUGAAAUCCCCAGGCUUAACCUGGGAACUGCAUCCGAUACUGGAUGGCUUGAAUCCGGGAGAGGGAUGCGGAAUUCCAGGUGUAGCGGUGAAAUGCGUAGAUAUCUGGAGGAACACCGGUGGCGAAGGCGGCAUCCUGGACCGGUAUUGACGCUGAGGAGCGAAAGCCAGGGGAGCAAACGGG